UACGGAAGGGGCAAGCGUUGUUCGGAAUCAUUGGGCGUAAAGGGCGCGCAGGUGGUUCUGUAUGUCUGCCGUGAAAGCAUACAGCUCAACUGUAUUGUGUCGGUAGAAACUGCAGGACUUGAGGCUGGGAGGGGCUGGUGGAAUUCCCUGUGUAGCGGUGAAAUGCGUAGAUAUCAGGAGGAACACCGGUGGCGAAGGCGGCUCUCUGGACGGUGACUGACGCUGAGACGCGAAAGCGUGGGGAGCAAACAGG
rnacentral:rRNA from 1 species